rnacentral:miRNA from 1 species
AACUGAAGGCUGGAGCUGUCG